GACAUUUCUGACUUCUGUUAGCUUCAGUCAGUUUAUUUUUCAUGCACUCUGCGCUGUGUUUGUUCGUACUUCUAAUAACUAGUUUGGUAAAUGUAUAAAGAAAUAAAAGUGUUAUUAUAGACAAAAAUGGUAGUUAACGCACCCGAUUCGCCUGUUCAGGCUGAAGUAAUCUUCGUGAUAGAGGUUACGGCAGCAAACGGCGCGUAUAUUGGCGAACUUAAAACAAACUAUAUUAUUCCUACAUUAGAAUAUUUCCAUGGAGGUGCAUUAGAAGAAGGAGGUGGUAACGGAUCAGUCUAUGCAAUAGUUACGUAUAAGACAUCCGAUGUCCAUCCUGGCGUACCGGUUGGUACCUUCGGACCUUUCACAUGUCCGCAAACAGUAUUGGAGACUGUUGAUAAAAUACAGUUUGUCGGUGGUCACAUAGAGAACAAAGCAUGUAUGACGGAAGCGUUGGCGACGGCGCUCGAUUGUUUCGACGACCUCGGCCGCACUGACUUGCCGAUGCAUUUGCUGCUACUCUGCUGUUCACCGCCCUACUCAGCGUAUGGCGGAGGCCUGGUGCCACCUGGUGCACCGGCGACAGUGGAGCAAGCGGCCCGCAUGUUGGCGGAGCGCGGCGUGCAAGUAUCGAUAGCGUCGGCGCGCCGCUUCCAACAACUGCAUGCCUUGUAUGAAAGUGCGGGCGGGGAACUCCAUCAAGCACAACAGAGGAAUUAUGCCAAGGAUCCCCGUCACUUGGUGUUACUGCGCGGGUACAGUUUGAAAGAGAGGCCGCCGAGCCCCGCGCCGCCCCCGGUGCCUGACAUACAAGCUGAUGUCUAUGGACAGGGGCGCGGUGCAGCAGGGCCGGCUCGUGCGGGGGCCCCGAACUUCCCGCGGCCCGCCGUCGCCGCUGCCACUGGAGUGGGACCCGUCGGGAAUGUCGCCGGGGUGCCCGGAGUCGCUGGCGUUGGUACGGCUGCCUGCGGUCGGGGCGCGGGUAACUGGCUAGCCCCUCCCCGCGGGCCCCUGUACGCCAACUCGGCCCUCCUCACACAGCUCGCGCAGCCCUCCUACCCUCCGCCGCCGCCACCCGCGCAGACUGGCCACCAACGUAUGCCUACAAUGGUGACGCCGGGUCCGUCCGGUACUCAGCUGCAACGCUCCUAUAUCUGGAGUGGAGUUAUUGAGUGGAUGGAGAAGGGAAAGACCGCCGGAGACCAGAAAACUACCAAACACUUACCAUGCCAGGUAUCAGCAAGCACGAAGGACAUAGAGCCUGAGCUGAAGGUGGACACGUGGCCCAGCAAGCUCCUGAUGCAGCUGAUGCCGAAGCAGUUGAUCAGCAACAUCGGCGGCCAGUACCUCAAGGAUAGCAAGUCCGUGCUCUUCCACCUGCAGCCCAGUGAAGCUUUGGACUCCUUGACUAAAGUCAUGGUUAACGGCUUUGCGGGUUGUGUCCACUUCUCCCCAAUGCCGACGCCGCCGCAGUGCGACAUCAAAGUACUGAUACUACUAUACACUCCGGAUAAGAAGGCCUACUUAGGCUUCAUACCCAACAACCAAGCUACAUUCGUCGAUCGACUUAGAAAAGUGAUUCAACAGCAAAAGAUCAGUCAGAUCAUCAGCAAGCAGCAGCUGCCGGCCGCCGUCAGUAACGCGGGCGGGAUGGCGCAGAACAUGCCCAACGCCACUAUGGCCGGUUCUGGGGCAAUGCCGACCGCAGGAAUGUCGUCAGGUGGGAUGGGAUCGGGCAUGUCCGCGGGCAUGCAGUCCGUGCCCGUGGGCAACGUGCCCGGCGUGGGCAACGUGGGCAGUGUGGCCAACGUGGGCAACGUGGGUCCAAUGUCUGGACCUGGACCGAGCCAGGGGAUGGUGCAGUCUCAGAUGCAACAACACCCACAGGGUAUGAUGAUAGGCGGCUCAAUAGGGCAACAGGUACAGCAGGUGGGAGGGAAAGGUCCUCGGCCAGUUACCCAGUUGGAUGGCCUGGAGGCAGCUCGGCAGCAGAACUUGGAGAAGAUCCAGCAUCUGCAGCAGACAUUGGAGGCGGCCCACCAGCAGGAAGCUCAGUUCAAGUCACAGAUGGACAUCAUGUCGCAUUUGCACGCAGCCCAGCAGCAGGAGCAACACUAUAAACAGCUUGAGGAACAACAACGCAAGCACCAGUUGCAGCAACAGCUGCAGCAACAGUUGCGCGGCGGGGGGGGCGCCACCCACCCCCCUCGCAUCAUCCGGCCCCUGCUGCCCUCCAACCCUGGGCUCAGGCAUCUGCUGCAGCAGCAACAGCAGCAGCCGCGCGGGCCGCGCCCCCACAUGUGAGGCGCCGCGCCCCCGCGCCCCCUCGCCCCCGUCUUUCACCUGCGCCCUUCCUUGCACGCACAUGGCCGCGCACAACAGCCGCAAUACAGACCAGGAGGCGGAGCCCCCAGGCCGGCGUCGCAGCCCCAGCAGUUCGACGACGUGAACAACUACUCCGACUUCAUAUAGACCUCAGCACCGCAUGUGUGGACUCUAAUUGAUGAUCGUGAUUGAUUCUGCUUACUCAAAUAACCCGCUAAGUUGUUAUAAGGAAGUCUUUUAGAUUUAUUUUGUCUUCAGUGGAUAGCUUUAUCUUGAGCUAACUGUGUGAAUCUCAAUUUUUUUCUGGUAAGUUCCCAAUUUUUUAACCGACUUCCCAAAAAGGAGGAGGUUCUCAUUUCCCGAUCAAAAUUCUUUUUUAUGUGACAUGAAAAUGUUACCGUGUAAAAUGCAUUUGUAUUGCGUGUUCAAGAAUCAAUUCAGUAUGUUUUUUUUUUACCAAAAUGUUUAAUUUAACGUUUCAUAAUACAUGUCCGAAUACGGAAAUGCUACUCAAUUUUAAGUUGUACUUAAAUGUCGUGCUAUCUCUGUCAUUUUAUAAAGAAUUGAUAGGGACAGAACUAGUUUUAAGAGCGUCUUAAAAUUGAGUAGCGUUUGAGUAUUCGGACAUGAGUUAAAAAAAGUAUUUUCUUAACGAUGUCAAGUAAGUCCACUACACAUGCAAUUGAUAGGAUCAAAUAUAAUUAUUAUGAAGUUUUAUAUAAAUAUGUACAAAAAACAGAUGUUUUGUCUGUACUGGGUUGCUUUGCUUAGCCGUAUAGACGAAUCAAUAUUACUAAGUGUACUCUGUUCAUUUUAGCCAAAUAUAAUUGAUACGUAGGUAGAAUUCUGUGUAAUUUUAUUUAAGUUUGAUUUUAAAAUAAUACUUCGCCGUACUAAAAUUAUUUGAGUGAUAUUUUUUUCAAUGUUUGUCAAAAGCUCUUUCUUCUAUAUUUUUGUAAUAACUAUCGUGAGACGUACUAAAUUAACUAAAAAAAUCACGGUUUACUCACGUACAUUAAUGGAGAAAAAUUCUACUAGUUUCGAGUCACAGAGCUACUCUUCUGCGCACGCUGCUCAUGAUUGAGAGUCCCUCUGUUACUCAAAACUAGUAAAGCUUUUGUUCAUUAAUUUACCUGAAUAAACCGUGAUUUUUCGUAAAGGUCUGUCUUCUAUUAUUAUUUAUUUUAUUAUAUUUAUCCUUCUUCUACUUAUAAUUGUAUACACUAUCCAUCCAUUUUUCUUUGAUAUCUAUUUAUAUAAUUUUAUUCAAGUAUGAAUAUUUAGUCUCUCAGUUUUAAAAGUAAAUCAACAUAUUUAUUGCGUUUAUUUAACGUCGAAAAAAAGAGGAAAAGUAAUUAUUUUAACAUGUUCACCGCUAUGUCGGGCACUGGUGACCGAUGCUUAGCAAAGGAUUUGCCUUCAACAGUUUUCUUUCGGCAGUGAAUGCUUUAAUGAUACCAUUUGAUGAAUUCAUAAAUAAUUUUAGUAUAAAAUUAAAUAUCCUACAAAAACACCCUUUUUUAAGUCAUAAAACGAGCAGAGUACACGACUUCCGUCAUUAUUAUAUAAAAUGAUUCCAAAAAAUUGUGUUGUAUUAUAAAAUAUAAUUCUUUAAUCAAAUGAAUUAUGUGAAUCUAUUGUAUUAUUGUAAAUUUUCCUAUAAUAUAGUUAUAUGAAUAAUUAUAUUACUAUAUAAUUGUAAUUAAUAAUUGUUGACUGAUAGAUUAAUUCGUUUUAGCUAUUAAUCACGACUAUUUAAUUUUAGCCGUGAGAUUUUGUACAGCGUUUGUACGUAUUGUUACAAUAUAGUGAAAUUACCUAUCGACGGUUGAGAGGCUAAUUCUUUUAAGAGACAUUUAUUACGAUAUUGAGUUAUAUACAUCAUUCGAUGGAGAAAAAUUCGGUGAUUCCGAAUAUGUAAAAUUCUCUAAAAUUACAUUUUCAAAUAUUUCUUAUAA